UACGUAGGGUCCGAGCGUUGUCCGGAAUUACUGGGCGUAAAGCGCGCGCAGGCGGCCCGCGAGGUGUCACGUGAAAGCCCCGGGCUCAACCCGGGAGGGUCGUGGCAAACCGGCGGGCUUGAGGCCGGUAGAGGUGGGUGGAACUCCUGGUGGAGUGGUGAAAUGCGUAGAGAUCAGGAAGAACACCCGUGGCGAAGGCGGCCCACUGGGCCGGUACUGACGCUGAGACACGAAAGCGUGGGUAGCAAACAGG
rnacentral:rRNA from 1 species